rnacentral:rRNA from 1 species
GAUGAACGCUGGCGGCGUGCCUAAUACAUGCAAGUCGAGCGAACAGACGAGGAGCUUGCUCCUCUGACGUUAGCGGCGGACGGGUGAGUAACACGUGGAUAACCUACCUAUAAGACUGGGAUAACUUCGGGAAACCGGAGCUAAUACCGGAUAAUAUAUUGAACCGCAUGGUUCAAUAGUGAAAGACGGUUUUGCUGUCACUUAUAGAUGGAUCCGCGCCGCAUUAGGUAGUUGGUAAGGUAACGGCUUACCAAGGCAACGAUGCGUAGCCGACCUGAGAGGGUGAUCGGCCACCCUGGAACUGAGACACGGUCCAGACUCCGACGGGAGGAAGCAGUAGGGAAUCUUACGCAAGGGGGGAAAGCCUGACGGAGCAACGCCGCGUGAGUGAUGAAGGUCUUCGGAUCGUAAAACUAUGUUAUUAGGGAAGAACAAAUGUGUAAGUAACUAUGCACGUAUUGACGGUACCUAAUCAGAAAGCCACGGCUAACUACGUG